rnacentral:rRNA from 1 species
UACAGAGGGUGCGAGCGUUGUCCGGAAUUAUUGGGCGUAAAGAGCUCGUAGGCGGUCUGUCGCGUCGAUCGUGAAAACUUGGGGCUUAACCCUGAGCUUGCGGUCGAUACGGGCAUGACUGGAGUUCGGCAGGGGAGACUGGAAUUCCUGGUGUAGCGGUGAAAUGCGCAGAUAUCAGGAAGAACACCAAUGGCGAAGGCAGCUCUCUGGGACGGUACUGACGCUGAGACGCGAAAAGCGUGGGGGAGCGAACAGGG